AUUUGGGGUCGGGGUAGGGAGAGAGGAGGCACGGGGAAAAUGAGAGGAUUCGUAGGGCAUGGGAGUCAUAGAACCCUGCAGUGAUGAGGCCUCAGGAGGACCAGAGAGAUCCACCAACGCCAGUCCAGCUGCAUGGCUUUUGCAAGGAAAUAAGACAGACAUAACCACUGCGGAUGCCGACCUUAACAGAAGAUGGGGAACAAAAACAAGAGGUGAGGACUGGCCAGUGGUUGAACCGGCUGCCUCCACCUGCCAGCUUCCACCCCACCGAGUCAUGGAGCUGGCCCAGGAUCAACCUGCAGUAGACGCUUCCUGUCUUUGUGCCUUCCCGGAGCUCUGAGGAGAAGGUCUACCAGUUGAUUGAACUCUUGUGUGUGGCACCCAAAGGGUAAAAGCGAAAUUGCUGAACAGGGUGAUGCAACUAUCCCCACCCUAGCUUCCCCACUGCCCAAUCUCUAGGGCAAUUCUCAGCCCCAGGGAGGGAGGAGCAGGGCCUCCUGGAUUUCUACGAUACAUGGGUCACUGCUCAUGCAAAGGAAAGAGAGAGCAAAAAGGUCUACUUUGCUCAACUGGAUCCAGGUUGUUUCCAGCCCGCCUUCAUGCUGUAAAAGAUUUGAAGCAACUUACAAAAACACACUGGAUCAGCAUAAACUUGGAAGAAAAAGAAGUGAGAGCAAAGCACAAGUACAGUGAACAAAACCAGAGGACUAGAAAUCCAGAAAGGACAAUGGAUCCAAGGCAGGCAAAUGGGAGCCAGGGCACCCGUAGAAUCCAGGGCCUCGGUCAGAGCAGUGGGCCUAAGCAGGCAAGGCCUGGGGAGCCAGAAGCAAAGCAGGAUGUUUCCAAAGUCUGUUUUACUGAACCCUGCUUCUUCUGGUUCAUUCUAUUUUUUUAAAGAUUUUAUUUAUUUAUUUUUUCAUCAGAGACACACACACAGAGAGAGAGAGAGAGAGAG